ensembl:lncRNA
AGUUGAUUCCUAUCCUUCCUCGAUUGUCCUCUCUCUCAGCAGUUUUGUAACAGGGAAAUCAUUUCCUCUUAUUUGUUAAUGAAUCUUAAAUGGAAGGGUCUAGGGCCUGCCGGUUUCAUUUCUCAGUCUGUGUUUCUUCCAGGGCCUGACGGACUGGAAUGUUUCAGUAAAUGUUUCAUCCCACAAACAUUUAGUUCAUCAGAGAGAGAGAAAGAGAGAGAGAUGAGCACAUGGGACCCUUGUCCCAGGAACGUGUCUUCUUCCAGAGUUCUUUACAGGUCUUCCAUUUCUGUGAAUCAGCGAUGUGGAAAACCCAGGCCUCAGAAAAAUUAAGGGAGGCUUGAAGUGAGCAAAGCAGAGCAGAGUGUUGGCAGGAGCUGAGGGCUGCCACAGCGGGAAAAUCAAGCAAUGCGUCAUCUAGGAGAACUCGUGGUGCUGUCUGCCUCCUCUCAGCUGCAUCCACACCGGCUGGGACAGUCAGAUCACUGUGACUUGGGCAGAGAUGAAAACAUGCAGCAUAGCCAGGGUAUUAUAGAGGUGUGUGGUGUCAGGACGGCCUGUGCCAGCCUCAUUUACUUUUCUGAGUCAUUUGAACAAAGCAGUUGUUGGGCUAACCUUGCUGUGACGAGAAUCCACAACAAAUCCAAAAGCCUCUGCCCCCACCGCCUUGGCCCCGCAGCACAGCGCGGUCGUCUUUUCAGUGGCGUGAGCCUCAUUACAUGGCGAUUGUUGGAUGAACUGUCCCUUCUCUCGCCCAGAGCUCCUCCAGGCAGGAAUCUUGGCCCAGUUUCUUCUAUGUCUCAGAGGCCUGGCACUGGGCUCGGCAUUUAGUAGGUAUCUGACGAAUAAAUGAAUGGGUAUCGGGACAUAUGGGAGUCAUAAGGGGCUCCUACAGUGGGAAUGAGUUCAGUAGCGCCAUUCUGUGUUAGUUGUCUGCGGUUUGCAGGACCCAAAGGAGGAGUAAUUUGUCCUCUGUAUAAAAAACAUGUCUCAUGUGGGGAUUGCACAAGGGAAGGUGCUGGCCAGCUGGGUAUCAAGGUGGGCAGAGGUAGAGGAAAAUGGGGGAAAUGACACAGGAAAUGAUGGUGUUCGUCCUAGGGACACUUCAUAGCAUCCCACGCAGAGCCCCGAUUCUCCAGGAAAUUGACGGAGUGCCUGGCGGAGGCCAGAGCACGGCUGGGGGAGGCCAGCUCUCAGGGAGCCGUUCCUCAGCCCCCACAAA